rnacentral:rRNA from 1 species
UGGGGAAUUUUGGACAAUGGGCGCAAGCCUGAUCCAGCCAUGCCGCGUGCAGGAUGAAGGCCUUCGGGUUGUAAACUGCUUUUGUACGGAACGAAAAGGUGCCUUCUAAUAAAGGGCGCUCAUGACGGUACCGUAAGAAUAAGCACCGGCUAACUACGUGCCAGCAGCCGCGGUAAUACGUAGGGGGCAAGCGUUGUCCGGAUUUACUGGGUGUAAAGGGCGCGCAGGCGGGAUAAAAAGUCAGUGGUGAAAUCCUACAGCUUAACUGUAGAACUGCCUUUGAUACUUUUAUUCUUGAGUUCGGGAGAGAGAGACGGAAUUCCAGGUGUAGUGGUGAAAUACGUAGAUAUCUGGAAGAACACCAGUUGCGAAGGCGGUCUCUUGGUCCGACACUGACGCUGAGGCGCGAAGGCGUGGGGAGCAAACA